UAUUAUUAUCUUCAAGAAAUGUUUGCAGCCGCACAUUAACCAUUUUCUCUAGCAGUUUUCCCAAGCAAGACGUUAAACUAAUUGGGCGAUAACUUUGUGCCAGCAACGGAUCUUUUCCAGGUUUCGGUAUAGGAAUGACAACGGCCUGUUUCCAUUCCGAGGGGAGUACAGUGAUGAAACAUCUGGUUGUGGAUUUCGUCUUCUCCCGGUGAACAUGACUUGGUGUUACGGAUAGCGAUAUUCAACUCUUCUAAGACGACCACCACGGAACCAUUUUUGUUUUAUUGCCAGGUUUGGAUUUUGGAAUACUGGCGUUCGCAGCGUCUAAUAUAGCAGAUGUAAGAGUUUUUAAACUUAAGCUAUCUAGGGCUGGAGGGACGAACUUACUUGCAAAAAGUUCCCAAUCUGCUUGUGGGAUCUUAAAUCUAGCCACUGAUCUUAUCGUGGGAUUUUUGCCUCUAACAGAAAUGAUUAUGGGAAAAUGAUCGCUGUGAUGGAGAUCAGUUUCCACCUCCCAUUCAAAAUUACAGUAUAUAUUUGGAGAACAUAUAGAAAGAUCAAUUGCGUCGAAUGUUCCGGAU